CCUACGGGAGGCUGCAGUGAGGAAUAUUGGUCAAUGGACGCAAGCCUGAACCAGCCAAGCCGCGUGCAGGAAGACGGCUCUAUGGAUUGUAAACUUCUUUUGUCCGAGGGUAAAUCCCGAUACGUGUAUCGGAUUGAAAGUAUCCUACGAAUAAGCAUCGGCUAACUCCGUGCCAGCAGCCGCGGUAAUACGGAGGAUUCAAGCGUUAUCCGGCUUUUUUGGGUUUAAAUGGUGCGUAGGCGGGUCGAUAAAGUAGCGGUGAAAUUUCGGGGCUCAACUCCGGCCGUGCGUGUGAUACUGGCGGGCUAGAGUUGGGGAGAGGUAGGCGGAAUGUGUGGUGUAGCGGUGAAAUGCAUAGAGAUCACGCAGAACGCCGAUUGCGAAGGCAGCAUAC
rnacentral:rRNA from 1 species